rnacentral:rRNA from 1 species
UUUGACCUCGGAUCAGGUAGGGAUACCCGCUGAACUUAAGCAUAUCAAUAAGCGGAGGAAAAGAAACCAACAGGGGAUUG